AGCGAACGCUGGCGGCAGGCCUAACACAUGCAAGUCGAACGCCCCUUCGGGGGAGUGGCGGACGGGUGAGUAACGCGUGGGAAUGUGCCCUUUGGUACGGAACAACUGAGGGAAACUUCAGCUAAUACCGUAUGUGCCCUACGGGGGAAAGAUAUAUCGCCAUUGGAGCAGCCCGCGUUGGAUUAGGUAGUUGGUGGGGUAAUGGCCCACCAAGCCGACGAUCCAUAGCUGGUCUGAGAGGAUGAUCAGCCACACUGGGACUGAGACACGGCCCAGACUCCUACGGGAGGCAGCAGUGGGGAAUCUUGCGCAAUGGGCGAAAGCCUGACGCAGCCAUGCCGCGUGAAUGAUGAAGGUCUUAGGAUUGUAAAAUUCUUUCACCGGGGAAGAUAAUGACGGUACCCGGAGAAGAAGCCCCGGCUAACUUCGUG
rnacentral:rRNA from 1 species